rnacentral:rRNA from 1 species
GAGGUUGGGAGAGGGAUGCAGAAUUCCAGGUGUAGCGGUGAAAUGCGUAGAUAUCUGGAGGAAUACCGGUGGCGAAGGCGGCAUCCUGGACCGACAUUGACGCUGAACGGCGAAAGCUAGGGGAGCAAACGGGAUUAGAUACCCCGGUAGUCCUAGCCCUAAACGAUGAAUGCUUGGUGUGGCGGGUAUCGAUCCCUGCCGUGCCGAAGCUAACGCAUUAAGCAUUCCGCCUGGGGAGUACGGUCGCAAGGCUGAAACUCAAAUGAAUUGACGG